GCCAGCAGCCAUAUCACCCUGCUACUCACAACCCACUGAAGUUCAGCAGGGGUGAGCCUGGUCAGUACCUGGAUGGGAGACCUCCUGGGAAAAACUAAGGUUGCUGCUGGAA
rfam:Lepisosteus oculatus linkage group LG3, whole genome shotgun sequence.